rnacentral:rRNA from 1 species
GACAGAGGUGCAACAGUGUUCGGAAUUACUGGCGUAAAGCGAGUGUAGGCGGUCUGAAAGUCAGGUGUGAAAGCCCUGGGACUCCAACCCAGGAAGUGCACUUGAAACUGCCAGGCUAGAGUAUCGGAGAGGUUGGUGGGAAUUCUCGGUGUGAGAGGUGAAAUUCGUAGAAUAUCGAAGAGGAACACCGGUGGCGAAGGCGGGCCAACCUGGACGAAAUACCUGGACGCUGAGACUCGAAAGCGUGGGGAGCAAACAGGA